GGGUUCAUAGCUCAGUUGGUUAGAGCGCUUCGUUUACAUCGAAGAGGUCUCAGGUUCGAGUCCUGAUGAACCCACCA
rnacentral:tRNA from 1 species